GCAUAAUGACAGAGCAGCAGCUGAUCAAUUCACAGCAUCAGGCUCUCUCGCAGGCAAUCAAUCAAUAUGUGAGGGCAGAGAGAAGGACAGGAAGCGGAGGAAGGAGGCUGCAGGCCCACAAAAGGAGGACAAAGGGAGGCAGGGCUUGAAUUUUAGAGGCAGUGAGAUAAUAAGAAGAAGAAAAGAGGGCACAUGUUUUGUCUUUUUGACGUCACAUCUCAGGUUAACGAUGGCGCUUUGGAAGGAGGAGGAGAGCAAGGGAUGGGCGAGUGUCUGAGAGAAAGGCGGAGAGAGAGAUAAUCCAUGAGAGCAUCUCACAGCAUCCUCCUGCCAGACAGGACGCCAUCCAGGACACGCUUCCUGUGCUCAGUGGUGUGGGAGGGGGGGGCGGCGUCUUCCCAUGGACACCUCAGGAUCGAACCGUCCUUUUUUGGACCCUUGGAACUGAAGAGUAAGAUUUGAUUUCAAUCAGCGGGACUGCCGCUGUCAACAGUUUGGAACACCUCGACCAGCUGUUGUGUGUGUGUGUGUGUGUGAGCGUGUGUGUGCGUGUGUGUGUCAAGAUGAGCGUGCCCAUGUUAAAGAUCGGCGCCGUGCUCAGCACCAUGGCCAUGGUCACCAACUGGAUGUCCCAGACGCUGCCUUCCCUGGUCGGACUCAACGGAACCGUCAUCUCUCCCGAGGGGACGCAUGAGCGCAUCGUCAGUGGUUUGUACCCGGGCUCCGAGGAAGUAUGGCAGGUCUACAGCACCGCCUCCGACCCGGACGGCAAGUGCGUGUGCGCGGUGGUCGCCCCCGCGCGGAACAUCUGCAAACGAGACCCUCGCAGUCGGCAACUACACCUGCUGACCGAACAGGUCCAGAACGUGAGUCAGUCCAUGGAGGGAGUCCACCUGCGGACCUCCAGAGACUUACAGCACUUCCGAGAGUCCGAGCCACUCCUGAGGGGGGUGGAUGGACGGUUGCACACGUAUGUGGGCAGCCCCCGCACACUGACAUCCAAGGGUCUGCAGGAGUUAAAGGGGCAGGUGACCCAGUUGCAGCCCCUGCUGUCCACGGCGGGGCAGUACAAGUCGGACCUGCAGACCCUGGCCAGCCUGCGCGCGGAGCUGCUCAACCUGUCCGUCAUCCUGACGGCCAUUCAGGAGGAGAUCGGCGCGUACGACUACGAGGAGCUCCAGCGGAGGGUCCUGCUGCUGGAGACCAGACUGCACAGCUGCAUGAACAAACUAGGUUGCGGACGCCUGACAGCCGUUAGUGGUCCCAUCACCGUUAAGGCGUCCGGGUCCCGCUUUGGCUCCUGGAUGACUGACGCCAUGAUUCCCAGCUCUGACAGCAGGGUGUGGUCCAUGGACGGCUACUACAAGGGCAGGCGCGUGCAGGAGUUCAGAACCAUGGCCGACUUCACCAAGGGCCAGAACUUUGUGCAGCACCUGCUGCCACACCCCUGGGCCGGGACCGGUCAUGUGGUUUACAACGGCUCGCUGUACUACAACAAGCACCAGAGCAACAUCCUGGUCCAAUACCACUUCCGCUCGCGCAGCGUGAUGCUCCAGCGCAGCCUGAGCGGCGCGGGCUACAACAACACCUUCCCCUACAGCUGGGGGGGCUCCUCUGACAUUGACCUCAUGGCCGACGAGACGGGCCUGUGGGCCGUCUACACCUCCAUCCCCAACGCUGGGAACAUCGUGGUGAGUCGCUUGGACCCCCGCUCGCUGGACGUCCUGCGCAGCUGGGACACGGGCUUCCCCAAGCGCAGCGCGGGCGAGGCCUUCAUGAUCUGCGGCGUCCUCUACGUCACCAACUCCCACCUGGCGGGCGCCAAGGUGCACUUCGCCUACAACACCAACACGUCCACGUACGAGUACACGGACGUUCCCUUCCACAACCUCUACUCGCACAUCAGCAUGAUGGACUACAACCCCCGCGAGAGGGCGCUCUACACCUGGAACAACGGACACCAGGUGCUGUACAACGUCACGCUAUUCCACGUCAUACGCACCGACGGCUAGGCCGCCUCUCGCUUCAACCGCAGCACCGUCUGCCCGCCGGGUGGCGGCUCAGCGCGCCAACGCGCUGCUCUGAAGAGUCACCGCAGAGCGCCGCCGCCACGAGGACGCCAUGAGAACAUCCAUAUUAUAUUUAAUCCCCCCCCUCCCCCACUCGUGUCUGAGCGUUGAGCGACAGCAAAGCGGCCGAGCGCCUUUUAAACUUCGGAGACGUUGGCCUCGCUCACAAGGCCCCAGUCAGGCUGAGGAAAAUGUCCGCCCGUUGUAAGAGAAUAAAAGACUCACAUCCAGUGAAACACAAAGAAGCCCAAAGCGGUGUUGAUGAAUCAACGCUGCUGCUUAAACGUGGAGCAAACAUGGCGUACAAACUGAAGAAGAAUUAGGCAAGGCUGGCAAGGAGGGGAGUGAUGGAGGAGGAGAGCAGCAGUGCCAUCAAGCGGUGACAACAAACACUGCAGCUCAGGUUGUGAGCAGUUGCUAGCAGGGUUACUACGGCGACAAGGCCAGACCUCUUCUGCUAAGCAGCACUUCAGCCGUCACUGACAAAAAGAAUGAUGGAGCAGUGUCGGAUGUCACGAUGGUGUACCUAAUGCAGUGUCCAGUGGGUUCUUCUUCUCCAACAUUCUACCAACGUCUUUCCUUCUCCUGGGACGCAAAUGAGUUCCAGGAAAGGAAAAAAAAACAUUAUUUUUCGUGCG